rnacentral:rRNA from 1 species
UACAGAGGUCUCAAGCGUUGUUCGGAUUCAUUGGGCGUAAAGGGUGCGUAGGUGGCGCGGUAAGUCCGCUGUGAAAUCUCCGGGCUUAACUCGGAACGGUCAGCUGAUACUGCUUUGCUAGAGUGCAGAAGGGGCAAUCGGAAUUCUUGGUGUAGCGGUGAAAUGCGCAGAUAUCAGGAAGAACACCCGUGGCGAAGGCGGCUCUCUGGGACGGUACUGACGCUGAGACGCGAAAGCGUGGGGAGCGAACAGG